AUGGAGAGGUUCUUGCGUGAGCCUAUCAACUUUGGUUCCCUCUGAAGGAUGUUAUAACCGCCAAGUGACCAUUUCAGUUUCCUUGUGCACCAAUUGGGUUAUUCCGAGAACUGCAAAGAAUAAUUAAUGGUCUUUUUGUUUUGCCUCUGUUUUCUUCUACUCUUGACAUUAUAUGAUGGAAUGCAUCCAUUCACAAUAAAAGAAACUUUCUCGGCAUUUAUUAUUUUUUAUCUGGGAAAAUUACUAAAAUACCGUUUGUAUGGCUUUUUGUGUAUGGUUGCUUUGACUUAUAUGAUGGAAUGCAUCCAUUCACAAUAAAAGAAACUUUCUCGGCAUUUAUUAUUUUUUAUCAUAAAUGGCCCAGGUAUUUAAAAGCUACACUUUGACUCACCUGGACAGAUUAAUGCAGAUAUAUUUGCAUUACCUAUUAUGUAUUAUGCUUCUAUCCUGUUUCCUGUUUCCUGUUUUGUUUAGUUUUUUUCAAGUGUUCAUCCCACCAUACAACCCAAUGCCGAAUGUGUUUCAAUGCUCUUUACUUCUCUAGCUCUCUUUGCUUCUCCAUGUUCCUCACGCGAUGUAUGUGCGUGCUGCUUAGCUUUGUUCACCACGGUUGCUACAUGCCGCCAAUGCGUGAAAACACAUUUAUUUGAGCAGGUAAAGGUGAUUUUGUGACCAAACGAUAGAGCUUAUUCGAUGCAGGGGUGUG
rnacentral:lncRNA from 1 species